rnacentral:rRNA from 1 species
GAUGAACGCUGGCGGCGUGCCUAAUACAUGCAAGUCGAGCGAACGGACGAGGAGCUUGCUUCUCUGAUGUUAGCGGCGGACGGGUGAGUAACACGUGGAUAACCUACCUAUAAGACUGGGAUAACUUCGGGAAACCGGAGCUAAUACCGGAUAAUAUUUUGAACCGCAUGGUUCAAAAGUGAAAGACGGUCUUGCUGUCACUUAUAGAUGGAUCCGCGCUGCAUUAGCUAGUUGGUAAGGUAACGGCUUACCAAGGCAACGAUGCAUAGCCGACCUGAGAGGGUGAUCGGCCACACUGGAACUGAGACACGGUCCAGACUCCUACGGGAGGCAGCAGUAGGGAAUCUUCCGCGAUGGGCGAAAGCCUGACGGAGCAACGCCGCGUGAGUGAUGAAGGUCUUCGGAUCGUAAAACUCUGUUAUUAGGGAAGAACAUAUGUGUAAGUAACUGUGCACAUCUUGACGGUACCUAAUCAGAAAGCCACGGCUAACUACGUG